rnacentral:lncRNA from 1 species
UUUCGGUUUGUAGGUCAUGAGCUGCAGUCAACUGUUUGGAUAAUGGGAUCUUCUAUUCCCCAUUGGGCUGGCAUAACAGCUGCUAGCCGAUCUCGUGGGAAAAACCUUAAUUUUGAUAGGAUAAGAGUACAAGUUAAAUGGAUAACUAAAUCAGGAAUGAAAUGGAAAGAUCUGGAUUCAUCUUUUGAAAGUGAAAUUAAAAAGUGGCCAGCCC